GAACCAGUGUGGUAUAGUGGUUUGAGCAUUGGACUACAACUCUGAAGACAUGGGUUCACUUCCCAGCUGGGCCA